UUUUUCGCUGCGAGUGUCAAGCGAGUCGCGAUUGUAACAAUUGAACGGUCGACGCGCGUAAUGUUCGGAUAAUUGCGUGUAAAUUGGUAGCCGGAACUAGACACGCGGAACAUAUAUAUACAUAUGUAUAUAUACGCGUAGAGAGCUGAUAGAGUGUAAAUGGAAUGUAAAAUGGAAGGAAACGCGUGGUUACGAGAAUAAGUCGUUCGUAUCGACAGAGUUUCUCUAAGGACCUUUAAGAAGAGGAGGAGAAGGAGUGUAUUCUUUUGUUUGACAAACGUGUCGAACAAUAAAUCACGCACCUACGCCUUAGCCUUCGGCUAUAUCGUCACAAGAACGAGGAAAAAGAAGCUUGUAACUCGUUUCGUAAGUAGAGUCGUGUUUUACGGAGCAUUGACGUCACUGGUGUAUUCAGAUUGCAUUGUUGCAGAUAAGUUUCAAUCGAGCACCGUUCCAGUUUUAACGUUUAACAACGGGAGCCACCAGAUAAGCCAGAUUCACUGCAUAUCCAACCCGAUAAGAGAAUCCGAGGGGAAAAACAGGAUUCAUUCGUAAUUCACACUUCUAAACAUUUUAUGUUAUAUUGGCCUUAUAUACUGGCUACAGAAAGUAUUGGAACAUACACUUACCUUUUAAUAAAUAAAAUUUCAUUUUCAUAAGAAGACAUUUUUUUGAAUCGUA